CCUCUUCAGGAGAAAUGGAUAUCCAGGCCUCGAGGCUCCUGGCAGCCUGCCCGUUUGGCAGCCUCUGCCAGAACAGUCCGUGGAGUACAGACUGCUCCCUGUCUUCUCCCAGUCUGGUCCCUGGAGAGACUCCAAUCUCCCUGCUCGAGUCCUUCCCUUUUCUGCUUAUCAUGGGGAAGGAAUAUGCGUCUAGGCGUUAAAUCGCUCGAGUGCCAGCUGGCACAGCACAGCCACAGGGCCCCAGCAGGAGCGGGCCUCAGUUCUCAGAGAGCUGCACAAAGACCAAAGCAAAUUUAUUACUGUUUUUCAGUUUACAAAUGGGAAAUCCACAACAUUGGUCAAGAAGAAAAGGCACCAUGAAUGGGAAGACCGAAGUGCAGACAACCAGCUGGAACAAGGGUGAAAAUAUAGGAGAUUACGAUCCAUUCCUGGGUGGACGGCCAGCGUUCCAUCUUCACUAACACGAUAUAGUUGAAGAGCAUCAGGUAUCCGAUAUACGCCAGCUGUAAGGAGACACAAUACAGUGCUCUGGCUGUUCAGGCCCAGGAGCCCCAGCAUCAGCCAAGGCCACUGCACAGCAGCACAGAGCAGGGUCAGCAAGCAGGACACAGACUUUAUGACAAAAGGAACUUGAAGGUGCUAAACUAACAAAAGAAUUAGAAAAGACAGUAAUACUUGAAGGAUUAUAAUAUGCAAUCUUCCUUUUGACCUGUACAUGUAUCUCUGGGGCUCUGGUGCUUCGUUUAAAUCUAUGUGUCAUGAUGCAUCAUUUCGCCUUGCAGUUACCCAUUUUUGUGUGUUUUCUUGGCUAAAAAGGGAGCCUUGGCUGUCAGUGGCGGCUCUUGCUCAGGCGUGGACCUUAGGUUCUUAAACUAGGGCAGCACAGUGGAUUUUUGCCUCACGAAUGCCAGGCAGAAUAAGUGUCUGUGAGAAGCAAAGGAAGAGGAAGACACAUGUAACACCUGUAAAUUGGUCAAACCAACAUAAAAAUAGCCCAGGCUUAAAGUGCUUCGCUUGUCAGUGCCCUGGGAGGGUCUUACCUGUUUUCAUUUCACCACUUUCCUGUCCUAAUCAAGUUAAGAUAAGAUAUUCCUUCCUGGUGUCUGCUUCAUUGAAACAACACAAGAAAAGACAACACAGUUUACAGAAAGGAAAGGGUCCGUGUGGCCUUUUGUGGACGGGUGUGGGGUUUAAUCCCCAAGAGGCUCUGGCUCGUGGGGUUGAAUCCUGAUGUGACUGGCUGAAUUGCUGGAUGUCUGGGAAGAACUCCCUAGGGUUUGGUGACUGCUCCUGGAAGAUUCAGUUGUGUCAAGAUGGAUACCUGAAAUAGGCUCUCAAAACAAGCAGGGUCUAGGAGCCAGUUGGACCCCUGCCUCCUUUCUUCUUGGACCAGAAGAGGACCCAAUCUGCUCCUAGAGAAACUUGCUACGAUGCAGAAGUGAGGUUAUAUGGAAAUGAAGUGUGUCCUACCUUUCAGAAACUUGGGAGAGUAGGAGAGACCAUUUUUGAAAAUCUGGUGAGAAAUACUCUUACAGAGAAAAACACAGCCCAAAGCACAUGGGACCUUCAAUCUGAAAUUGAAUUGUACUGUUAAGCAUGUCUGGUGAUUCAAAAGACUGGCAUACCUUAUUUCCAGUCACUUCCUCGAGGCCUGGGCUUUGUCAAUAUGUGAAGAUGAAUUUUGGAGAAUCAUGUAAACACAAUUGAACAGAUCUGGGGGAUCCAGUCUGAUGGGUUUGCUGAGGCCAAUCCAGUCAGCCACGCAGAAGUGUGCUGGACACACAGGCCCCACCACCCCCCGCCAAAGAGGCAGCCUCCCAACAAGCUGCCAAUGACAUAAGCAAAGCAGCGUGUCUCAAGUGUCUCCAAUCAUAAGAUUCGCCUGGGAAGCUGGUUAAACUAACACAGCCUCUUAGGCUCCUUCCUGAAGACUGGAUUCCAUGGGUCUAUGAUGGGGCUAGAAAUUUGCAUUUCUAACAAAACUCCCUUGUCAUCAUGGACGUUUUAGAGAUAUUGAUACUAUUAUUUCUACUGAUUUCUGCUCUCGGGAGUCUGUAAACUUUUUCUGCAAAUGGCCAACUGGUUAACUUUUAAGGCUUUGUAGAACCGAUAGUCUCUCUCUGUCUCUCACUACUCAUCAACUUGAUGUGGUAGCACAAAAGCAGUCAGUCAGCCUAUUGCUAAUGGUAAAUGAGAUUUAGCCUAAAGCUGCCUCCUUAAGUUCGGCCUGAAGUUUUCUCUGUACAUUGUGAACUAUAACAAAUGAAGGUGUAACAAGACCAAUCACCGAGUUUCGGUCAAUCAAAUGUAGCCAACUGCUCAAACUGUGUUCAAAUAAGGCAAACGCUGAGCUGUAACCAAUCCAGCUGUUUCUGUACCUCACUUCCGUUUUCUGUAUGCCACUUCCCUUUUUCUGUCCAUAAAUCUUCCACCACGUGGCCCUGCCAGAGUCUCUGAGCCUACUCUGGCUUGGAAGACUGCCCAAUUCACGAAUCGUUCAUUUGCUCAAUUAAACUCCUUUAAAUUUA
rnacentral:lncRNA from 1 species